GAAAAACGUGUGUGAAUGAUUGACUGAUAUGAUGACAUGAUGUGGGAAGAGUGGGGGGCAUGUUUGAGGUUUUAGAUUUCGUAUGUUCACACACU
ensembl:ncRNA Y55F3C.15 ncRNA